rnacentral:rRNA from 1 species
UACGGAGGGUGCGAGCGUUGUCCGGAAUCACUGGGCGUAAAGGGCGCGUAGGCGGCGCAGGAAGUCAAUGGUGAAAGUUCGGGGCUCAACCCUGAAUCGGCCGUCGAUACUCCUGGGCUCGAGCACUGUAGAGGCAGAUGGAAUUCCGGGUGUAGCGGUGGAAUGCGUAGAGAUCCGGAAGAACACCGGUGGCGAAGGCGGUCUGCUGGGCAGUUGCUGACACUGAGGCGCGACAGCGUGGGGAGCAAACAGG